rnacentral:rRNA from 1 species
CAGUCGCCACGGUAAUACAGAGGGUGCGAGCGUUAAUCGGAUUUACUGGGCGUAAAGCGUGCGUAGGCGGCUUUUUAAGUCGGAUGUGAAAUCCCUGAGCUUAACUUAGGAAUUGCAUUCGAUACUGGGAAGCUAGAGUAUGGGAGAGGAUGGUAUAAUUCCAGGUGUAGCGGUGAAAUGCGUAGAGAUCUGGAGGAAUACCGAUGGCGAAGGCAGCCAUCUGGCCUAAUACUGACGCUGAGGUACGAAAGCAUGGGGAGCAAACAGGAUUAGAUACCCCUGUAGUCCCUGUCUCUUAUAC